AGUCACUGACAUUAGAUACCCGCGUAGUCCCAGCCGUAAACUAUGCGCGUUAGGUGUACUGGUGACCACGAGUCACCGGGGUGCCGAAGGGAAACCGUGAAACGUGCCGCCUGGGAAGUACGGUCGCAAGGCUGAAACUUAAAGGAAUUGGCGGGGGAGCACAACAACGGGUGGAGCUUGCGGUUUAAUUGGAUUCAACGCCGGAAAUCUUACCGGGACCGACAGCAACAUGAAGGCCAAGCUGAAGACUUUGCCGGAUUAGCUG
rnacentral:rRNA from 1 species